UUAUACUUGUCGGAGUGCCUUUAAUAAGGCUGAGAUCGCGAAAGCGGGAUCCGUGAACCUGAUCAGGCUAACACCUGCGUAGGGAACAAGCUGCCUCAUAGG
rnacentral:ncRNA from 2 species